UAAUAAUGUUUUAUGGCACUUUUUAAAUCCAUAUCCACCUUGUGUGCAAUGUCAGUCGAUCUUCUUCAUGGAGAUCGACCAAACAUCAACCUUUAUCUUUUAACUCUUUGUCUGAAAAAUAUUAUGAAUAAACAAUUCAAAAUA
rnacentral:misc_RNA from 1 species